GGGCCCGCACAAGCGGUGGAGUAUGUGGUUUAAUUCGAUGCAACGCGAAGAACCUUACCAGGGUUUGACAUCCUGCGAAUCUCUUGGAAACGAGAGAGUGCCUUCGGGAACGCAGUGACAGGUGGUGCAUGGCUGUCGUCAGCUCGUGUCGUGAGAUGUUGGGUUAAGUCCCGCAACGAGCGCAACCCACGUCUUUAGUUGCCAGCAGUUCGGCUGGGCACUCUAUGGAAACUGCCCGUGAUAAGCGGGAGGAAGGUGUGGAUGACGUCAAGUCCUCAUGGCCCUUACGGUUGGGCUACACACGUGCUACAAUGGCUAGGACAGACGGCCGCAAACCCGCGAGGGGAG
rnacentral:rRNA from 1 species